AUGCUCAGCCAGCCUGCUUCAUCAUUCAGGAGCACUUUCAGCGGCAACGAGAUUGCACCAGUGCACCCCAGCCUGACAACAGAGCGAAACUCUGUCUCAAAAAAAAAAAAAGAAAAGAAAAGAAAAGAAAAGAAAAGAAAAGGAAAGAAUAUCACCGCACUCCACACCUGGGAUGACUUCUUCCCCAGCUCCGAUUGCUUUGCCUGGCCAGACUUCAGGGACAUUUGCAAAUGGAACAACCACGUGGUGGGCAACCUGCUCUAUUGCCAGACCAACUACCUGGUGGUAGCUGCCAUGAUGAUUUCCGUUGUGGGGUUUCUGAGUCCCUUCACCAUGAUCCUGGGAGGAAUCGUGGUGGUGCUGGUGUUCACAGUGCUUGUGUGAGCAGCCCACAAUAAAGACAUCCUUCGCCGGAUGAAGAAGCGCCACCCCAUGACGUUCCUUAUGGUGGUCAUGUUCACCAGCUAUUUCCUUAUGUCCAUGUUUGGAGGAGUCAUGGUCUUUGUGUUUGGCAUCACUUUUCCUUGGUUGUUGAUGUUUAUCCAUGCAUCGUUGAGACUGUGGAACCUCAGGAACACACUGGAGAAUAAAAUGGAAGGAAUAGGUUUGAAGAGGACACCAAUGGGCACUGUCCUGGAUGCCCUACAACAGCAGGAAGAAGGCCUCAACAGACUCACUGACUAUCAGCAAAGUGACGGAAGAAACAUAACUGACCUGAGAUGGGGUUGCAGCAGAAACUGAGUUGCAGUUUGCCCUUGUCCGGACCUACUUUCUGCUUGUGUUUUUGAAAUAGUAGGUGCAGGUACCACCCAAUUAUCUAUGGCAGCAUGCAUGUAUAGGCCGAACUAUUAUCAGCUCUGAUGUUUCAGAGAGAAGGCCUCAGAAACUGAAAAAAAACCACCACCCUCCUAUUAUGUCUGAAGUUUCACGUGUGUUUAUGAAAUCUAAUGGGAAAUGGAUCACACUAUUUCUUUAAGGGAAUACAAAAAAAUAAAUAAAAGAUGUAUGGCUUUUACAGCAACAAUACUAUUAUAGGAAUAAAAAAAUCAUUGUAAAGUAUCAAGACAAUACAAGUAAAUGAAAAGGCUGUUAAAGUAGAUGACAUUAUGUGUUAUCCUGUUCCUAAUCCCCUAGAAUUGUAAUGUGUGGGAUAUAAAUUAGUUUUCAUUAUUCUCCUUUAAAAAUCAAAGAUGAUCUCUAUCACUUUGCCACCUGUUUGAUGCGCCAUGGAAACUGGUUAAGCCAGUUGUUUAUACCUCAUUUACAAAUCUAAAGAUAGCUGUUUAGGAUAUUUUGUUAAAUUUUUGAAAUGAUAGUAAUGUGUUUUCACCAGCAAGUAUUUGUUGCAAACUUAAUGUCAUUUUCCUUAAGAUGGUUACAGCUAUGUAACCUGUAGUAUUCUGGACAGACUUGUUAAAAAAUAAACAGACAAAAAGAAAAAUAAAACAAAACUUGAGUUCU